UCCAGUUUUAUUGGUGCUUGGGUCACAUCCAAACCCUUGUCAGGAAUCCCUGUCUCUUGAGAGUUCGUCAGGGUGAUCGACACUGUCGCCAAUAGAAACACUAGCGUUACCUGCAACGUUACAUAACAAUAUUAUCCAUUAAUUAGAUUUUGAACUAAAGAAAAUGUAUUAUCGAAAUUUAAUAAUUAUCUUUUAAGUCUUUUACUGAAAUAAAACUUUUUACAGUUAUAUGAAUAACGUAAUUUCGAUAGAGCAAAUAUAACAAAGAAUGUCGUUCUUUAAACAGGUCAUCUGUUUAAUUCUUAAAAAUUUCAAAUUCCCAUAAGAAGAUAAUUUUAAUAUCAUUUAAAUUACACAAGAAAUUAAAGCACAGUAUAGAUGCUCUAUUUGAAAUUAAACACCCCAUGUGCCAAAAAGAAAAUUAAUUUCGAAAAAAAAAAAAUGCAAGAAUUGUUGAAAGCUUAUUGAAAAUUCUCCUAAAAUAUUCAGGGCACUUCUCAAAGGUACAGAACUUACAUAAAAAAGAAAGAAAGAAGAUAUUUCAGCUAAAUAAUCUUAACUAACAGACAUAUGUCACAUCGAUAAAUAGAGAGAAUCCGAAAGUUCCUACGCAUACGUGAUCAGAAAUGUCGAACAUCGACAGGACUUUCGUCCCAUGAAGAAUACCAGACGUAAUUCCGUUUUUACAUAAUUAUGGAAGGAAUGCCUGUAUAAGCGUGUGAAAAUUUGUCGUGUAUAUUACGUGUUUAAAAUAGAACAAUGAGAUAUUAAUAAGUUUUUGAGUCAUCUUUUAACUUGUUAGUUGACGUAUAACUUUGAAGAUCAAUAAACAAUAGGUUACUCGUUAAUAAAUAAUAAAAAUACUUCAGCAAUAAAGUAUCGUUAUAACAAUCGAAUACUCGA